CAUCAACUGCGUCAGGGCAUUGCAGCUGCCCAAGGCUGCAUCUGGUGUUUUGUGGGCUUCUUCAUGCCGGAGAAGGGGCAGAGUCCAUUUUCCAGGAGACAAAGUUGUGGUGUGCACAGAGCCCCGGAGCCCUGUGAGCCCGGGCGACACCCCAAGCGGCGCCUGCAUAUGACUCAGCCCCGGGGCGGAGCUGUUAGAGGAGAGAGGAGAGAGGAGAGAGGAGAGAGGAGAGACGAGAGACGAGAGACGAGAGACGAGAGACGAGAGACGAGAGACGAGAGACGAGAGAGGAGAGAAGAGGAGAGGAGAAGGCAGCGCGCCCGGAGCAGAGAGCCGGGGCUGGCAGGGGCAGUGAGACGCAGGCGGCGGAGCGGCGGGAUGCGGCGGUGCCGGGUUGCAGGGCUCGCGGGACUGGCCGCGGUGCUGCUGGUGACCACGGGAAGGGCCCAGGUGCAGCAGGAGCCGUCGGCAGAGGCCUCCGAGGGCACCGAAAUCAGCAUCAACUGCUCACACCCCAACAUACAGACCAGUAAUUUCAUCUUCUGGUACCGUCUCCUCCCGGGCCGAGGUCCCGAACUCCUUGUGAGUAGCCAUAAAGGAAUUAAAGCGCUGUCGGACCCGCCGGGGCAGCUGUCUGUGGCGACAGACCGCCGGUCCAGCGCCCUGUGGCUCGAACGGCCCCGGCGCGGGGACGCGGCGGUGUAUUACUGCGCCGUGGGAGACACAGGGAGAGGAGCCGGGGCUGCGGCCGGACACGAACCGCCGCGGGCGGGGCCGGGCGGGUGUGGCGGUGGAUGGGAGAACCCCUGGCCGGGCCCGCCAGGGGGCGCUGCCGCUCUGCCCGCCUCGCCCCGCCCGGCCUCGGGAAGGUUUCCCCGCCUGAUCUGCAGCGGGAUCGCAUCGGCACCAGCCGCACUCCCUCCGGGAUGCCUGCAGGAAUAACGGCCGCGAUAUCAUAACCGUGUGAAGGCAGCACAAUCCCUUGUCCCAUAAUUCGAUAUUUGCAUGAAUGGCUAAAUGAGCUCUUCACUGUCUCUUAGAGAUCAUCAGUUAAAUUGUUCUUCUUGUGCAAAAGCAGGAAUAAACACAUAAGAUGAGAA